rnacentral:lncRNA from 1 species
UUUAAUUAAGUCUUUCCACUUUUCUGUGGAAAGACUUAUUGUAUUUGUUCUGAUUAUUAUUAUUAUUAUUAAGUCUUUCCACUUUUCUGUGGAAAGACUUAUUGUUUUUGUUCUGAUUAUUAUUAUUAUUAUUAUUAUUAUUUUUUUUUUUUUUCCGCCAAAUUUUGUUCUUGCGAUAAAUGUUUGUUUCGCAAUAUGUCGCUUAAAUAUUUCUCAUAUUGUAUCGUAUAGUUUAUGCGCUUUUAAAUUUCACCCUGCUAAGCCAAACCAUUUUCUUUGUAAGAGUUAUCUCCCUAUUCACUGUUUAUCUUCAGAGCGCAUCUCCUUCGUAACAAAAAAAGAUAUCAAC